UACGUAGGGUGCGAGCGUUGUCCGGAAUUAUUGGGCGUAAAGAGCUUGUAGGCGGUUUGUCGCGUCUGCUGUGAAAUUUCGGGGCUCAACCCCGAACUUGCAGUGGGUACGGGCAGACUAGAGUGUGGUAGGGGAGACUGGAAUUCCUGGUGUAGCGGUGAAAUGCGCAGAUAUCAGGAGGAACACCGAUGGCGAAGGCAGGUCUCUGGGCCGAUACUGACGCUGAGGAGCGAAAGCGUGGGGAGCGAACAGG
rnacentral:rRNA from 1 species